CUGCAAUCAAGAUUAAGAACUGUCUCAUCCCAGCAAGGAUCUCCCUCCCCACCAACCCUCACCCCUAACCUCUGGCAACCACUAAUCAUUCAUCUCUUGUCAUUUCAAGAAUUCAGCUUAUCAUUUACUGAUCACCUAAUCUGAUCCACUUUGAGAAUGACCAGCUAAAAACCAGGCAGAUGUGCCACUGACUUCAUGCAGGCUUGAAUCAGGUUUGAGAGUUUGUCUGUGUAAAUGCCAAGGCCAGAGUCUUUGGGUUGCAAGUGACAGAUACCCAACUCUAACAAUUUUAGGCCAAAAGAGAAAUUUUGGAGAAAGCUCAUGUGACUGAGGGGAGUGCAGCAUGUAUUCAGGCCAAAGGCUCAUAGGUGGAAGGGACUUGCCUUCUCUCACAUGAGACUUUGAACCUGGACUUUUGAGUUAAUGCUGGAAUGAGUUAAGACUUUGGGAGACUGUUGAGCAGAUGUGCCUUACUUUCCCUUUGUCUUCCAUGAUGAUUGUAAGUUUCCUGAGACCUCUCCUCACAUGCCAAACUGGAGGCAAAGGGAGAUCUGACUAUAAAAGAAAGCAGGCAAUGUGACCACGUGAGCA
rnacentral:lncRNA from 1 species